GACGAACGCUGGCGGCGUGCUUAACACAUGCAAGUCGAGCGGACCGGCGAACGGGUGAGUAACGCGUGAGUAACUGCCCCCCUCUCUGGGAUAACAGUUGGAAACGGCUGCUACUACCGGAUAGUGGGGGAUGAAUCGCGUCCUAUCAGCUUGUUGGUGGUGUAGGGGCCUACACAGGCGACGACGGGUAGCCGGCCUGAGAGGGCGACCGGCCACAUUGGGAUGGGAUACGGCCCAAGCUCCUACGGGAGGCAGCAGUGAGGCAUAGUGCACGAUGGGGGAAACCCUGAUGCAGCAACGCCGGGUGCGGAAUGUCGGCCUUCGGGUUGUAAACCGCUUUCAGCCAUGACGCGGUAGUGGGAGAAGAAGCACCGGCUAACUACGUGCCAGCAGCCGCGGUAAUAC
rnacentral:rRNA from 1 species